UACGUAGGGGGCAAGCGUUGUCCGGAAUCAUUGGGCGUAAAGCGCGCGUAGGCGGCCCGGUAAGUCCGCUGUAAAAGUCCAGGGCUCAACCCUGGAAAGCCGGUGGAUACUGUCGGGCUGGAGUCCGGAAGAGGCGAGUGGAAUUCCUGGUGUAGCGGUGGAAUGCGCAGAUAUCAGGAGGAACACCUGCGGCGAAGGCGGGUUGCUGGGCUGAUACUGACGCUGAGGCGCGAAAGCCAGGGGAGCGAACGGG
rnacentral:rRNA from 1 species